rnacentral:rRNA from 1 species
UACGGGGGGAGCAAGCGUUGUUCGGAUUUACUGGGCGUAAAGGGCGCGUAGGCGGUCAGCACAAGUCAGUUGUGAAAUCUCCGGGCUUAACUCGGAAAGGUCAACUGAUACUGUGCGACUAGAGUGCAGAAGGGGCAACUGGAAUUCUCGGUGUAGCGGUGAAAUGCGUGGAUAUCGAGAGGAACACCUGCGGCGAAGGCGGGUUGCUGGGCUGACACUGACGCUGAUGCGCGAAAGCCAGGGGAGCGAACGGG